rnacentral:rRNA from 1 species
AGUAACGGCGAGUGAAGCGGCAACAGCUCAAAUUUGAAAUCUGGCCUCUUUGGGGUCCGAGUUGUAAUUUGUAGAGGAUGUUUCGGGUACCGCCUCGGUUUAAAUUUCUUGGAACAGAAUGUCAAAGAGGGUGAGAAUCCCGUCUUGGACCGGCGGUAGGGCCCAUGUGAAACUCCUUCGACGAGUCGAGUUGUUUGG